UACGAAGGGGGCUAGCGUUGCGCGGAAUUACUGGGCGUAAAGCGCCCGUAGGCGGACUUUUAAGUCGGGGGUGAAAUCCUGGAGCUCAACUCCAGAACUGCCUUCGAAACUGAAAGCCUUGAGUUCGGGAGAGGUGAGUGGAACUGCGAGUGUAGAGGUGAAAUUCGUAGAUAUUCGCAAGAACACCAGUGGCGAAGGCGGCUCACGGGCCCGAUACUGACUCUGAGGUGCGAAAGCGUGGGGAGCAAACAGG
rnacentral:rRNA from 1 species